AUGAAAACAACUUGUCAUACUUCUUACGCUUCAUCAGUCAGUCGAUUCAGUCGAGGAAAAUUCCCGGCAAUUUCAAGUGAAUCCGAUUGGUUCUAUAGGCAUGUGCCCUGUCCUGCGGCUUUCUUUUUCUGUCGUUUGCAUCGAAGAUUACAAAAUUUCGAUGCAUGUUCCUGGUUCAUAAGUGGCACCUUAAUAAAAGGUCUCUUGUUUCCAAUGCCGCUUCUGAUGGGAGAUUGUUAA
rnacentral:rRNA from 1 species